UCUUCCAGCUCCGCGUGCGCUGUGUGCUGUCGCGUGUAUCUUCGUGGUAACGGAGCGUUCUCAUUUGGGGCAGUACAAGGGCCAUAUUUUUCCCUGCAGCUGAGUUAUUCCCUUUGUGCCUCACCUAUUUUAAAGUUUUUAAAUGUACUCCAAGGUCAUCUUUAAAGCCCUUUCUGUAUCUCAGCUGCUUCACGUUCCUUCCACCUCCACCCGGUGUACGUCAAUCGUGUUCUUGUUCUUCCGGCCCAGGUAGUUCACCGGAUUUACGGCAGCUACUUUUUGUCUCUCUUCAGGCUUUACUUUUCUGAAGGACUUCACUCAUCCAGAAUAGACUUGGAGACUUGAGGCUGAAGAAUAAUUAUUCAUUCUUUUUCAAGUCUUAGGACAGCCGAAACACAAGUCUUAAUUUUACAGCCACUAGGACAUCCAUGAGCCAACAAAUAUUUCUCUGCAUAGCCCACUAGGAUGCCAGAAUGAUGCACACAUCUGUAGAGCUGAGUGUAGUGUUUCUGCUGGAACCAGACAGAACAUGGACGAGCAGAGAUAGGGCAGUAUCAUGGAUCACCAGGAAAAUACUCCUUAUCCAUGAGCAACUGCAUCAUGGGGGGAGACUCUAGUCAAUUUAGUGCUUAGCUUACUUAGGAAGUUGAAGUGUUCUAAAGAAGAGAUACCAGUUUUUAACAAAGCCUUUCUGGAGAGCAUCUUUGAAAUCAUCACCAGUCUUUGCAGGUCUGGGUUCAGAUAGAAUCGUCUGUGUUGAAAAUAAAUUGAUAUACUGUAAAAAGGACUAGCAGGAUAAUUUAUAUUCAGCAGAGGCUCAAAUACUAAUUCAGAGAGAAGAUUUCAAGAUGAAAUGUAUCCUGGAGUUAAAAAAAAAUCUAAUUACCUUGACUACUGCAUUUCUUAGCAAACCACAUUUUACUUUUGUAUAUGAGCUAUGAAGGCAGUGUUCUAGUAGGGUCUUACAGAGUGUGUUUUUUCAUUAAAAUCUAUAGAAUUUGUAUAUUCAUGAGAACAAAAAUGAUAAAAUUUUCAGAAAAUUGAUUCAGAAUGGUCAUUUUUAAUAAGCAUAUCUGUCUCUAAAACCAGAUUCUUCAUUUAUAUUUUAUUAAUUACAUUUAUUUCAAGUCUUAUUAGAAAACAUGUUGAAAUCAUACAAUUUGGAUUUCAAGAAAGAAAAAUAUAUAUGAUUUGCAUCUUCUUACUACAUUUUUUUUCUAUAUGCUAGUGGUAUGUAUUUUUGCUUUUCAUCUUCAUGGGGGUUCACAAUCCUGUUUUUUGUACAUUUUGCUAGUCCUUCAAUUUACAAUGUAUUUUAGAUGCCCUUGCCUGAUUAAAGGACCCGAACAAAUUACAGCCAAGAGAAAAAUAACACAUGUCACCUUUGCAGGUUUAAGCUAUCAUAAUCUUUAACUUUCCUGUCAAAGGAAUUCUUGUCUUCCUUUUGUGCAAAUAUUUAAUUGCUCAGGAUAAUCCAAUUUAUGUUGUCAGGAAGUAGGAAAAUAUAGCGUAUUCUGAAUAUGACCUUCUUUGUUAAAUAUUCUGCUGGCAUCACUCAUGGUUGCUGAAUUGCACAAGCUAUCGAAAUAGAUCUGGAAGCCAACAAGGACCCUGAUUAUGAAUAACAAGCUAUGCUUUAUUAAUCUUCCAAAUAGCUACACAAAUGUUCUUUUUCUCCCAACUUCUUGGAAGAAGAGCAGCAUAAUGGGUAGAUCAAUGGAGUUAACAAAGAAAAGAACAUCACUGUUCGAUUUUUAAAGUUUUAGUCUGUUCUUAUUAUGUUUCUCUUGUUAGCCACAAAGCAAUUUAAUACUCUUUCUGCUUCCUUAUGAUAUUGCAUUUCUUGAAAUUAAAAGGUGAAUACUAUAAGACUUACACCUGUAAGACGAUUGAUUGUAUAAUGUAU